GACGAACGCUGGCGGCGUGCUUAACACAUGCAAGUCGAACGAAGUGGCGAACGGGUGAGUAACGCGUAAGCAACCUGCCCUUCAGAGGGGGACAACAGUUGGAAACGACUGCUAAUACCGCAUACUGAAGGAGGGGAUUGCGUAUGAUUAGCUAGUUGGAGGGGUAACGGCCGACCAAGGCGAUGAUCCGUAGCCGGGCUGAGAGGAUGAACGGCCACAGUGGGACUGAGACACGGCCCAGACGCAUACGGGAGGCAGCAGUGGGGAGUCGUCCGCAAUGGACGAAAGUCUUACGGAGCAACGCCGCGUGAGUGAUGACGGCCUGCGGGUUGUAAAGCUCUGUUAUUCGGGACGCGGUACCGGAAUAGAAAGCCACGGCUAACUACGUGCCAGCAGCCGCGGUAAUUC
rnacentral:rRNA from 1 species